GCUUCCUGCAGAGUUGGUAGGGCCAGCCAGGCAGCAACCCCCAUCGGACUUCCCACUGGCCUUGGCCGUGGUUCGCCAGGCUCUAAGUCAGCAGAGCACAGCAAAUCAGAUCUACUCUCCACCCCCACUUCCAGCCCCACCCCAGUCUAGCGGCCCCUAAGGAGCCCCGGGCAGCCUCCCUAGCUGCUGCUGCCUGGCCCGGGAGCUCUGUGGCUGAGGGAGGCCCAGCUCUGAGACUGGGAGGACGCGGGCUCGCACUGGCUGGAGGUGGGUAUGCUGUGGGGCAGCGGCCCAGGCAGGGGAAGAAGGUCACCGGCGAGAGGAGAAGGAGAGGAGCAAGCCAGCCGGUCUCCCUCCAGUGCAGGACACAGAAGCAUCUUGGAGGUCCAGAACACCCAGCGUCUCCACCUCUACCAGCAGGCCCUCCGCCUGCCCCCAGUGCCCCUGCCGCUCCUGCUGGGCCCUCCAGCCCUGGUCAUGCCAGCUCCUUGGCCCCAGAGCGUCUCUAGCCUCCAGAUCCCAAACCUCUGGUGGGUCUCCAGGCUAGUAGCUGAGCUCUGGAUGCGACAGAAGACUCCCCAAAGACUCUUCAUUGCCUGGAACAGGCCAUAUCCAGUCCCAGCGGAAGGUAGGAGGAGAGUUUAUGAGACAACAUCAUGAGUCACCAUAUCUAAUGGCUUCCCAGAGGAGCUGUGCCUGGACAUGGAACUGCUCCUUCCCACAGGUGGCUGGGAAAGCACACGCUAAAGCUGGGCUCUGAUUCAGAGACACACAGAGCAGGACCACCUCUGCGGCAUACCCCCGAGCCCCCUGGAGAAUGACACAGAACCCCUCUGAUCCCAGUUCUCGCAUUUCAAACGGGGAUCAUACCUAACAUGUUUGCCUCAAGGGGUAAUUGGGAGGGUUAGAUAAAAUAAUGCAUGUGCAAGUGCUUUGUUAAAUGCUGGGCAAAUGAAGCAGCUGACACCAUGAUGGGAGAGAGUGAUGGAUGCAUGGUAGCCUUGGC
rnacentral:lncRNA from 1 species